AUACAGAGGGUGCGAGCGUUAUUCGGAAUCACUGGGCGUAAAGGACGCGUAGGCGGGUUGGCAAGUCAGAUGUGAAAUCCUACAGCUUAACUGUAGAACUGCAUUUGAAACUGCUAACCUAGAGUAUGGGAGGGGGAGAUGGAAUUAGUGGUGUAGGGGUAAAAUCCGUAGAUAUCACUAGGAAUACCGAAAGCGAAGGCGAUCUCCUGGAACAUAACUGACGCUAAGGCGUGAAAGCGUGGGGAGCAAACAGGAUUAGAUACCCUAGUAGUCC
rnacentral:rRNA from 1 species